rnacentral:rRNA from 1 species
UACGUAGGGGGCGAGCGUUGUCCGGAUUUAUUGGGCGUAAAGAGCGUGUAGGCGGCCAGGUAGGUCAGCUGUGAAAACUCGAGGCUCAACCUCGAGCUGUCGGCUGAAACCAUCUGGCUAGAGUCCGGAAGAGGAGAAUGGAAUUCCCGGUGUAGCGGUGAAAUGCGCAGAUAUCGGGAAGAACACCCGUGGCGAAGGCGGUUCUCUGGGACGGUACUGACGCUGAGACGCGAAAGCGUGGGGAGCAAACAGG